AUAUUUUGUGGGGAAAAAUGAUUGUUCUCCCCAGGCAAAAAAAAAGUUCUCCCAGGACAAGGCUAGCUCUUUGCACUUUGGGUGUGCUGACAUCUGCUAUGGCCCCAAAUGCAGGAUACUCGACUGUAAAAAUUGUGAUAGUGGGGACUGCGUUCGCGCUCUCCCCU